GUGAGAAUUCUCAUCUGUCUGAUCUUGGUGCAUUGUCCUGGAGGAAAACUGAAGUGAUUGGUAUCUGGGAAGAGACACGGAGAUAAGAUGUUACCUCUUGUCUGACACAAAAUCCUGUACUAAAGGCCCUGGAUUACAACAGUGUGGGCCUGAGAAGCAGCUGAGGAGAAUAAAGCUGGUCAAGCCUGGAGGGCAUGUUCCUCACUUCACCACUCCCCCACCCCCAGUGAUUUCUUGAUACAUCUAAAAUGAACAGUAGAUAGAAGAACCAUGGAUGACCUUUAAAUCUGAUCCAGAACUAAUAUGGCACCUGCUCACCAGCCAUUCUCAAUGACCUGAAGUGGAUCCAUCACACGGUUCUGACUUCAUCCCCACUGUUAUCACACCCAAGAGCACUCUCUAAUAAAUCAACUGGCUGCUAAACCCCACCUUGGAAUCUGCUUUCUGGUGGCCCCAACCUAUGACACCUGCGAGGUAGAGGUCUCUGAUGCCUAGUGAUCCCAUAAAAGCAGGAGGGGAAAUGGAUCAGUGAAGCUCCUA